rnacentral:rRNA from 1 species
CCUACGGGUGGCUGCAGUGGGGAAUAUUGGGCAAUGGACGCAAGUCUGACCCAGCCACGCCGCGUGAAGGAAGAAGGCUCUCGGGUUGUUAACUUCUUUUAAGGGGGAAGCGCAGAAGACGGUACCCCUUGAAUAAGCCACGGCUAACUACGUGCCAGCAGCUGAGGUCAUACCUAGGUGGCAGGCGUUGUCCGGAUUUUCUGGGUGUAAAGGGCGUGCAGCGGGAGAGACAAGGCCAAUGUGAAAUCCACGGGAUCAACCCGUGAACUGCAUUUGAAACUGUUUCCCUUGAGUGACUGAGAGGUAAUCGGAAUUCGUGGUGUAGCGGUGAAAUGCGUAGAUAUAAGGAAGAACACCGGUGGCGAAGGCGGAUUACGGGACGUUAACUGACGGUGAGGCGCGAAAGUGUGGGGAGCGAACAGGAUUAGAUACCCUAGUAGUC